UUCGCAAUGCCCGAAAGGGUGACGAAGCGACGCCGCGUGGGUGAGGAAGGCCUUCGGGUUGUAAAGCCCUGUCAGGAGUUAAGAAAUAUAAGUGCGCUAAUAUCGCAUUUAUUUGACGAAGGCCCCAAAGGAAGCCACGGCUAACUCUGUGCCAGCAGCCGCGGUAAUACAGAGGUGGCAAGCGUUGUUCGGAAUUAUUGGGCGUAAAGAGCACGUAGGUGGUUUUGUAAGUCAGAUGUGAAAGCCUUCUGUUCAAAGGAAGAACGGCAUCUGAAACUGCAGAUCUUGAGUGUAGGAGGGGAGAGUGGAACUUCUGGUGGAGCGGUGAAAUGCGUAGAUAUCAGAAGGAACGUCGGCGGCGAAAGCGACUCUCUGGCCUAUUACUGACACUGAGUGUGCGAAAGUUAGGGGAGCAAACGGGAUUAGAUACCCCGGUAGUCCUAACUGUAAACGAUGGGCACUAAGUAGAGGGGUUUU
rnacentral:rRNA from 1 species